rnacentral:rRNA from 1 species
UAAUACGUAGGCGGCGAGCGUUAUCCGGAUUUAUUGGGCGUAAAGAGGGCGUAGGCGGUUUUUCAAGUCGAUUGUGAAAUCUCCCGGCUUAACUGGGAGGGGCCAGUCGAUACUGUUAGACUUGAGGGCAGUAGGGGGAGGUGGAAUUCCCGGUGUAGUGGUGAAAUGUGUAGAUAUCGGGAGGAACACCAGUGGCAAAGGCGGCCUCCUAGGCUGUUACUAACGCUGAGGCCCGAAAGCGUGGGGAGCAAACAGGAUCAGAUACCCUGGUAGUCCACGCUGUAAACUAUGGACACUAGGUAUAGGGAGUAUCGACCCUCUCUGUGCCGUAGCUAACGCAUUAAGUGUCCCGCCUGGGGAGUACGGCCGCAAGGCUA